rnacentral:rRNA from 1 species
UACGUAGGCAGCAAGCGUUGUUCGGAGUUACUGGGCGUAAAGGGUUUGUAGGCGGUUUUUUAAGUUUGGUGUGAAAUCUCCCGGCUCAACUGGGAGGGUGCGCCGAAUACUGAGGGACUAGAGUACGGGAGAGGAAAGUGGAAUUCCUGGUGUAGCGGUGAAAUGCGUAGAUAUCAGGAGGAACACCGGUGGUGUAGACGGCUUUCUGGACCGUAACUGACGCUGAAACACGAAAGCGUGGGUAGCAAACAGG